UACGUAGGGUGCGAGCGUUGUCCGGAAUUAUUGGGCGUAAAGGGCUCGUAGGCGGUUUGUCGCGUCGGGAGUGAAAUCAUCUGACUUAACUGGGUGCUUGCUUUCGAUACGGGCAGACUAGAGGUAUGCAGGGGAGAACGGAAUUCCUGGUGUAGCGGUGAAAUGCGCAGAUAUCAGGAGGAACACCGGUGGCGAAGGCGGUUCUCUGGGCAUGAUCUGACGCUGAGGAGCGAAAGUGUGGGGAGCGAACAGG
rnacentral:rRNA from 1 species